CAGGCCUAACACAUGCAAGUCGAACGAACCCUUCGGGGUGAGUGGCGCACGGGUGCGUAACACGUGGGAAUAUACACAUAGGUAAGGAAUAACUCAGGGAAACUUGCGCUAAUACCCUAUAAUAACUCCGGUUCAAAGAUUUAUCGCCUAUGGAUUAGCCCGCGCUAGAUUAGUUUGUUGGUGAGGUAAGAGCUCACCAAGACUACGAUCUAUAGCUGGUCUUAGAGGAUGAUCAGCCACACUGGAACUGAGACACGGUCCAGACUCCUACGGGAGGCAGCAGUGAGGAAUAUUGCGCAAUGGAGGAAACUCUGACGCAGCCAUGCCGCGUGAAUGAAGAAGGCCUUAGGGUUGUAAAAUUCUUUCAGAUGCGAAGAUAAUGACGGUACCAUCAGAAGAAGCUCCGGCUAAAUUCGUG
rnacentral:rRNA from 1 species